GGGAAACUGCCUGAUGGAGGGGGAUAACUACUGGAAACGGUAGCUAAUACCGCAUGACCUCGUAAGAGCAAAGUGGGGGACCUUCGGGCCUCACGCCAUCGGAUGUGCCCAGAUGGGAUUAGCUAGUAGGUGAGGUAAUGGCUCACCUAGGCGACGAUCCCUAGCUGGUCUGAGAGGAUGACCAGCCAUACUGGAACUGAGACACGGUCCAGACUCCUACGGGAGGCAGCAGUGGGGAAUAUUGCACAAUGGGCGCAAGCCUGAUGCAGCCAUGCCGCGUGUGUGAAGAAGGCCUUAGGGUUGUAAAGCACUUUCAGCGAGGAGGAAGGGUUCAGUGUUAAUAGCACUGUGCAUUGACGUUACUCGCAGAAGAAGCACCGGCUAACUCCGUGCCAGCAGCCGCGGUAAUACGGAGGGUGCAAGCGUUAAUCGGAAUUACUGGGCGUAAAGCGCACGCAGGCGGUUUGUUAAGUCAGAUGUGAAAUCCCCGAGCUUAACUUGGGAACUGCAUUUGAAACUGGCAAGCUAGAGUCUUGUAGAGGGGGGUAGAAUUCCAGGU
rnacentral:rRNA from 1 species